UAAAACACUGGUUCUUAUCUGAUUACCAAAGUUAAGCAAUAUUGAGCCAGGUCAGUACCUAGAUGGAUGACCACUUGGGAAUACUGGUGUUGUAA